UCUUUUUCUUUGGGGUGCAGGGGGGAGCAGUGUGGUGGGAGGAGGACAUUUGACAUAGAUGUUCCCUAGCACUGAGGAAACAAUUGUUGUUUUAAGACUGUCCAUCUCUGACCUCAGUGCUGGGGCAGGUUCCUUAGUGUGCUGCAGCUACACAGCUCUGGCCUGGUGCUGGCAGGCAUCCCUUGUAAUGGGGACAUCCCACAGGGAGCCGGCGGAAGGCUGGUUGCAGCCCAGGUGAUCACAGUCAGCACUCAGAGCCCUGGGCUUCAUCAGCUGCUGCUCAUGGUUCCAGCUCCUGUGCCCUACCCAGCAGCUUGAGAGUGUUUUGGUGCAGAGAGAUGCUGCUCUUUCCCACCUAGUUUUGUGUCUGGCCAAAAUGGAGAACUCAGGUCCCGCUUCCUGCAACACUUGCCUGGCUCAGCACUGAGUCUGUGUGCUGAGAUCUGGUGCUGUGUGCUGGGCACAGGGAGAGCUUUCUUAGUUGACUCCUCCUGACUGACUUCCCAAGGCAGGAGUUGGAAACCCCCACAGCAUCAGGGUUUCCGUACAAGAGAUGCUGUAAAUCCCAGUGAAUGAGGCUCAGUGUGGAGUGAUUAUUUUCAGAUGCACUGCUACCAAUCUAUCCAGAGGGACUCUGGGCAUCACCAAGAAGACUCGGAUAACACAGCAGGAGAGAGAGGUACAGGAGUCACUUAAAAACAGGAAAAAUAUAAUUUCAAAAUAGACUCUUCUGGAUGUAACUUGAAAAAUAAGCAAGUAGAAAAUAUGAAAGACAUGCAAAUAUCUUCAGGUUUCUAGUUCUUUCAAGAGUGAUGAUGGUUCAGGUGGGUGAUAAGCAGCUAUGGAACUAAACUGCUAAAUCGAGGGGAAAAGAGAAUGUAUGUACAUAUGUACGCACUUUGAAAGACUUAUGCUGAAUUAUAAAUACUAUUGAAUCAUAAAAUAUAGAGCUUGUCAGUGGUUUCUGUCGAAGAUUGAACAUCUGAUUUCAUUUGUUCACAGCACAGCCUGUAUGAGCUAUCACAUUAAAACCAGAUAGAUGGGAGAAAGAUACCACAAUAUCCUGUAGGCUUUAAAAAAGAAAAAGAAAAAUUAAUGGCAGUUGAGUAAUUAUUAAUGGGAAUCUCAGCAUGGGUAGGUGUAUGCAGCAGGUUCCUCUAGGAAUCAGCUCUUUCCAUGCAGUCAUCAAUAGAUGUGCUGCAAGAGGCAUGGUUCUUUCUUCUCUUAUAUAUGCAGGAAUAUUUAUCACUGUGAAGGCUUAUCCUUAUUGCAGGACAGUGGGGAGGUGCCACACUUAUAGGCACAGCCUGAGGAGCACGGAGAUCUGCCCAGGAAGGAAGAAUAGCCGCGAGCAGCUCAGGGAAGGUGGAGGAGGAAGCAGCUCUGACAGAAUCAGUGACCUGCAUUCUCAGAGCACUGAAUUACAGGAAGACUUGGAGUCAGAGCAAACAGACAGCAAAUAAAGCAGAAAAUCAGAUUAAGAGUGUAAUGAGCAACUGGAAGUCCUUCACCCAGCAGCCAAAGCCUUCUUCUAGGAGGAGAGGGAUGGCACUGCCUGAGAAGGCAGUCAGAAUUGGGAUCAAGCUGGAGAACAACAGAGGCUUUGCAAUGCACUUAGGAAGAAAUCUGGUUGAGCCAGCAAACAUUUGUCAGCUGGACAACAUGCAGGAAACAAACCUCAGCAUGUGGCCAGGCAGAGAUAGCUAUUCUGCUCUGAAAAUACAGAGGAGGCACAAUUAUUCCUUGACUCUGCAGACUCCUGUGCUUCUAAGUCUGUGCAGCCUCACUGGGUAGGAACUGGGUUAUACAGUAACUGUGCUGUUAUUAAGUGUGAUGGUAUCAAUUGGGCUUCUCUUACUGACUUCCAUAGACUACUGCUGAAAAGAAAGUGGUGUGAGAUGAAAUCAUUAAUGCAGGGACAUAAGUGGAUUUCUAGCAGCAAGUGGAAAACUGAAUGGGGCUCUACCAGGCAAACACCUUUCUGCUCUUGAGGGUAUGUAUGUAUGUUUGUGAUGCCCAGGAAGUCUUUGAGUUAUCCAAAUAACAAUGAUGUCCAAAUAACCAAAAGACCUACAGGAGAGGCUCAUGGUGCAGAAUCCUACAGAUCUCUGCAUUAUAACUGCUGCAAACUCUCAUGUAGAUAUGUGUAUUCACUGGAGAGAUUUCUAUGUAUUUUGUAUUGCUUCUGUUCUUGGAUGCAAAGAGCAAGUCAAACCAAGGUAAUGUCAUCUGGAUUCAACAUGCAUCAGAGACAGGGGCCAUGCUUGUUUAAAGCAGUACCUUGAGGGCAGGUUUCUUUCAUCUUCAGUGAGCAGGGUGCACUGCUUGGAGCUAAGGGCUUCCAUGUGCUGUGCUGCCCAUGGCCUUUCUGUGCGUUAGCCUGCAGCUGCCCUUUGUCCUGCCCAAGGGCCACUCAGCUCUGAGAACUUGGGGGAGCUGUAGUUUGUCCCUCCAGGGCAGGAGAAUGCAGUGCUGGGUAGCAGUGGAGGGUUGGUUAUGUGUGUCCUGGUUAAAUGUGUCCACUGGAGGCUGCUCGUGCUGCUCCCUUUGCAGAAAGUGCCUGAAAGUACUGAAGCUGAAGCCAUGCAUGACCCCAGGGAGGAUGUUCAAAAGGACUGAGAGAUCCACUUCUGCCAUCCCAAGACUGACAGACGUAACUGAGGUGGAGUACAGACACAGAAUGAUGAGCAUGGGGAGACCUGACAGCAGAGCAGAGUGCUGUUAGUAAAACCUGCUAGCAAAAGGCUGCAGGUAGCCAUCACCUCAUCAUGUAAUGCUCGCAUUAAACAGGGGUGCUCUGUCUCUCAGGUCACUCAUGUAACACCUGAGGUGGUAAUGCUGCUCUGUUCAGCCACAGAAUCCUGCCUCCGAUAGCACCAAUUUGCACCCCCUUCUCGUCUGUCACUCUGCAAAGCAUCAGUACGUAGAGUUCCAAAAGAGGGGAAACAGAAUAUACAGAAGUUCACUAGGAGAGAAAUAGUCUGUUUGCUCAGAUGUUUUACUUCUCUUCCUUCUGCCGCUCUGAAUUACCUCUCUCCAGUUCUCCCUAUCUGUAGAGGAAGAUACUGGUGUCCAGUGUUGUUUUAGACCACCUUAGGUGCCACCUCUACCCUCCAGCAGCUGCUCCUGCAUUGCUGAGUCUCCUUAGGCACUUUGCUGGGUCUGGCAGCUCCAUGCUGCCUAAGAAAUCUUGGGUUGCCUCAGGUAGUACCAGGCACCACUGGCAGCUCCUUCUCUUUUUUUCUAUGGCCCUUUUCUGUUGUUUCUCUUUUUGGUUCAAUCUGAGCCUUGGUGGCCCAGGAAGUGGGAAGAUGGCUGGUGUUUCUGUAGAACUGCAGCUGUCAGCAGUGUUUAUGUUGUAGCCACAGCUACUGCAGCAGUGCAGCAAGUGGAGAUAAGUGGUGCCAGCUGGUUGUGGCUCGGAGUGUUCUCCUUCCUCUCCCUGAAAGGAAAGAGCAGGAAGGAAAAUGAUAAAGCAGAGAAGAGCUCAUUCCAGCUGUGGAUUCAGCUGCCUAUCACAAGCAGUAACCGUCAGCACUGGAGGGCAAAGGCCUUGCACAACAUCUUUCCUUUGCUUCGGUGGAUGUCCAGAACCCACUGGUGAGUAAGGACAGAGGUCUGAAUGGGACAGAUCCAGUGAGGAUCCCCUGUGAGGGAAGGACUUGCAUAACAAGUCCUUGUCACCUCCUUUAUGCUCAAUAUUAGGAAAAUUUUUAUGAUAACUCCAUUAAUGAUAUGCGGUUCUUUCUCUGCUCCUCUUCUCUUCCCUUAUGUCCCUGCUAGUCUUUUUGAAUGUUUAGAUGUGCAAUGCUUUCCCAACCCAAAAAGUAAAAACAGAAAGAAAACCGAGGUUAAAAACCCAGUGUCACUCUGCAGCUCAGCCCUGAUGUAGCACCAACUUAACGGCGCAGAACAUUUUCUCCUCUGGCUGCCUGUUAUCAGCAAUGGAAACAGGAAAAUGUUGCUUUUUCCAGACCGUCAUCAUGAAUCCUCUGAGCAGCAGUGACGGAUGCAGGAGCGCGAUGGCACAGCGGCAGUGUCCCCAUAAGGCCUUGCCUGCCUGUGCUGCGUGGGGGGUUGUGCAAAGACUUAUCGGAUAAUUUGUGAGCAGCUGUGACCCAGACAAAGAGCAGUUGUUUUCCCACUCCUUCCCUGCAUCCUGUGAGGGAGGUGGGAUCCUGGGCAGGGAUGUAGGGGGCAAAGAGCAUGUCAGCAUGCAUCUUCCUAAGGCAUUCUUCAUUUGUUUUGAAGAAUUGUUCUCCCUUUUCUGUUAAAGCAUAUGGUUAACAGAGAAAUCGGCUGCAUUGUGCCCUAAAUCCAUGUGGAUGCUAUUUUUUUUUUCUGAUGCAAUGAAGCAUUCAAACAGUGUAUAGCUCCCUAUAAUGUGGUCUGAUAGAGCAUCUUCUGUUCGCCACUGUGUAUGUGUUUCUUUGAUCACUUUGUGACUAAUGCAAUUGGAAACAUAUUCCAAACACAAUGAUGGGAAGAAAGAGAGGCCGAAUUUCCCUUCAGUGCUUGCCAUGUGAUUAUCUUUACUCAUGCAGCUUUCUGUGAUUCUUUUGCGUACAGCUACUCACUGAGUAGAGUGUCUCCCUGCCUUUUUGACAUUAAAGGAACCAGAGUGAAGUUUUCCAGGCUAGCAACAGAAAUAACACUGCGUUUCUUAAAGCAGACCUUCUGCAAGUGAGGUUUGUGAACACUGCUGCCAUGGGUCAAGGUCUGCUUCACCUCCACAGAGGGAGCAAACCAUGGCCACUGACCCUACAGUAACCUGCCUCACCUCCAGCUCUUCCAGCAGCAGAGAGGUCUCCCAGGCCCUGUGUCACACAUGCACUAUUCUGGCUGUUGACCUGUGCCCUUUGUGACACUGUGAGGCAAUGGUUUAUCAGAGGCAUGGUGAAAUGCUGCUACUUACCCUAAAAAUUCUAAAGACAGAAGGUGAGUUCCUAAGCCCAAGCCGUUCUGCGAUUUGAUGAUUCUAUGAUCUUGUGUCUCCUGUGGUUCUGGUGCUGUCAGCGGUGCCUCCUCAUCUUUCUGAGGUGUUGCUCUGCUCACUCUAUAUCCAGGAACUCCAUAUAGGAAGAACAGAUGCAAAAAGUGAGACAUGGAUGAAUGAAAGGGAUCUUCAGCUUUAGUCCAAACCUGUUUAUCAAGCUGAGAUUUCAUCCCAGACCAUUACAAUCUCAACCAGGCACAGCAGAAAUCACUUCUUCCUUCCUGUUCACGCAGGCCUGGGCAAAGAUGCUGCACGUUGUUCGGAAGAAUAAACAUCAACCAGCAUCAUGGACAGCUCAUUUCUACCGUCAUCACUGAUCUCAAUCUGUCAACUGCUUUUGCUACUUCUUAUUUCUUGGCAAAGAUACCCAAGCCAAAGUUCCUUUGGGAGAUGCAAAGACAAUAGAAGGAAGCAUUUGCCUGAUGGCUGAUGUUGCCGCAGAGCUGGCCAGCGCACAUGGAAGUAUUGAAUUUGUGAUGGAAAAUGUCAUGGGAAAACUGCAGCGAUAAGACCUACGUUUUUAAGGAUCCCUGUGCUUCCCAGUGCACGGUCCAGUCCUGGCUGGAAUCAGCCUUUCUUGGCAAAGCUCCCACCUGCAGCACUGAAUGGUUUGGGGACUCAGAUGAACACGUACGGGAAAGAUCUGUGUGGUUUUAAAAGGGAAAGACAGAAAUGCUUGUUGAUAGCACAAGGACGAAGCUGCAGACAUUAGUAAGGACAUGAAAGGGGAAAUGAAGGAUGAGCUGGGAAGAAAAAACUGCUGAAAGCACAGGUAAGAAAAGCUAUGGAAAAAUGAGAGCUGAGAACAACAGCUCAGAAAGAGAUGGGAUUUAUUUCCAGAGAUUUGGAAGAAGGGAAGACUAUGGAGCCGUCAGCUUCCCCCAGACCAACUAUCAUCACAAAACGGUGUUUGGAAACUAGGCAGGUAACAAAUGUUCUCAACUACUGGAAUUCGGGAAAGAGAAGGUGAUAAAGCUAAUUCCAGAAGCAUUCAGGAUGUUGUCCUAAGAGACGGUGAGGAUACAGAGCUGGAAAUUUGGAGCCCAAUUCUAUGGGUAACGGGGCAACACACUGUGCAAUAAGCAUCUAUAAGAGCUCUGCGAGCAGGCUUUAAAAGACCCAGUAAUUGAUCAUCUUGGGGGCCAGGGAUGUUGCCCGCUCUCCUCCCUGCCUCCCGCAGUCUCGCAGCGCCGUACUCGGGCCGCAGGCCGCCUCGCAGCCGGGCGCUGUGGCUGCAGGGGGCGCUCGGACCGAGGAGAGGAUGCCCGGCUUCUCCGCGGGGCUCCGGCAGGGAGCGCUGCCGAGCCGGGCGGGGACGGUCGGGUGUAUCCGGGCACGGUGCGGCUGGGAUGUGAGCGCUGGGUCGGUGUUACAGAGCUGCGAGGAGGGGAGAGGAUCCCGGCGGCUCGGGAGUGGCUGAUGUGUAUAGAAAUGGUACGAGCCUGGGGUUUUGUUUUCUCCCCCAAGGAAAACGGCCUGCGCUGAGCACUGUUCGAAUUCAUUUCAGAAGAUUUCAGUGACAUUUUGGAAAGCCAGAGCCGUGAAUUCACACCAAAAUCAAAGCCGUGCAGCAAACAUGCCUUGUAGCUGUGUAAUGCACCCGUGCUGGAAGACAAUGGCGGCUGUGGCUGCAUGUGGGGUGGUGGCGGUGCCAAGCGGCCCCCACGGCCACACAAGGCCACGCUGUGGCUGUGACUCGCUGGCCACAGAGGGCUGAGCCGGAAAAUGAAUGCUGUGGUCUUCCCAUGGCUCCUCACAUGGCCCUGGGCUGCACACAAGCGCUCAUGAUUCACUCCGCAGUCUCUGGGCAACCCAAAGGAGAACCACCCACUCGCUGUAGGGCCUGGUGUCAGCAGGCACAAUUGCUGUGGCAAAGCAAAGCCUUGUUCUGAGCUGAGGCACAGCCAGAUCCUCCUUCUGCCCAUUUCUGUAUGGUGAUAACACAAAACAGGAGGCAGUUGGGGCUGGGCAGGUCUGCAUGUUACUGUCCUGUGGUGGCUGCACAGCGCUUGUGGGCAGUGAACCCACAGCCAUGUAACGUGGAUCAGUACGGUAAGAGCUUUUUCCGAUCGUGUUCUGAAGGAAAACACAGAGACGCAAUGAUUUCAGACGCCGGCUUCCCAUUGUAGCACAUGUGCAGUGCUCUCAGAUACACAGAAGAAGGAGAUGUAGCAGGUUGUAGAGGAGUGAGCUGGCUGGAGCCCACAUCCCUACAGGUCCCUUUUUAAGCACCCCUGUUUUUAAAUACACUUUCUGUCUACAGAAUGACUGGAGAUUUCUUUGCUCCAAGGAAAAAUAGGAAGGCAGGAAAGAUGUAGCAUGUAAGAAAUAAGUUAUACACUAUUCCCUUCUUUUAUUAUUUUUUUUUUUCCCCAUUUCCCCCCCCUGUUGUUUUUGCCUGGUCUUUCUCAAAUCUUUUCUUUAUAUUAAUUUUCCAAUGGUCCAGCAGGGUGAAUCCUUAAUCUCCAGCCAUCCGAUUGACCGCGAUCAGUCAUUUGCAGGCUCUCAGCACUUUGGGCCCUCACGUAUGUUCUCUC